rnacentral:rRNA from 1 species
AUUGAACGCUGGCGGCAGGCCUAACACAUGCAAGUCGAACGAGUGGCGGACGGGUGAGUAAUGUCUGGGAAACUGCCUGAUGGAGGGGGAUAACUACUGGAAACGGUAGCUAAUACCGCAUACCAUCGGAUGUGCCCAGAUGGGAUUAGCUAGUAGGUGGGGUAACGGCUCACCUAGGCGACGAUCCCUAGCUGGUCUGAGAGGAUGACCAGCCACACGGGAACGGAGGCACGGUCCAGACUCCUACGGGGGGCAGCAGUGGGGAAUAUUGCACAAUGGGCGGAAGCAGGAUGCAGCCAUGCCGCGUGUAUGAAGAAGGCCUUCGGGUUGUAAUGUACUUUCAGCGGGGAGGCGUUAGCCGAAGAAGAAGCACCGGCUAACUCCGUGCCAGCAGCCGCGGUAAUAC